UUGUUUCCAAGUGACGCACUUAUUCAAUGAAUUUGAUAUUUGUCACUCUGUUUUAAUUUAGCUAUUGUCAGAUAGAUAAAAUAAUUUGUUAGAUUUUUGGAAGCAUAAACUUUUAACUGUUGAUUCUCUAUUUUUAGACAAUCAACUUUUGUUUUGAUGCACCAAGGAACAUUAUAAAUCAACAAUUGUCACGUUUGUGCAAGAAAUACACAAUCAACUUUUGUUUUGAUGCACCAAGGAACAUUAUACUUAUAAUGGUGAAAUUUGGAGAGAAGAAAUAAACGGACGUAGGCUUCUCAACUAGUCAUAACAGGAGACGUAAUAGUCACAGAUGACAUUACAAGGACACUUUGACCGAUAAUUGUAAAUGGGACGUUAGGUCAAAUGAUAUCUCGUUUGAAAAAUGUUAAAUAUACCUAUUCAAUUAACACUAAUUUUGUUUGGGUUUAAGUUAAUUUUAAUGAAUAAAUGAAAUAAAUAUAAAAUUGUAGUUUGGCAUUAAAUAAAUAAUGAUUCAAACGUCCUCCUAUGGUUAUUUGUCAAAACAGUCGACGUUGACGUAAAAACAAUUAGAGAAUAGACCAUUUGAAGACUUUGACGUUUAUGGCGCCUCCCAAUAAGUGUAUUCGCAGAGACAAUCGGGGA